AUUAAAAAUUCCAAUCCAUUAUGUAUUACCAGGCAUCAGAUGUCGGAUCGUCCAUGUUCGUCCACGUCUUUGGGGCGUACUUUGGUUUGGCUGUUAGUUUCGUUUUAUAUCGCGGCACGGCUUAUUGCGCUGACAGACAGUCCAGGAAAGACGAAGCCAACAGUGACUCAAUUGGCGAAACCCUUUCCACUGCUGUUGGCACUAUGUUUCUGUGGCUUUUGUGGCCUAGUUUCAACGCGUGUUUGGCAAAAGGUGAUGCCAAGCAAUUUCGAGCCAUCAUCAACACCUAUUAUUCACUAUCGGGAAGUUGCGUGACAGCGUUUGCCGUCUCGUCUCUUGUUUUCAACUGCUUCGUGUGCGCUGAAGAUAACAGACGACGCAGUUUUAACAUGGCAAAUAUAUUACUAGCCUACUUAAAAGACGGAUGAAAUUUGGUUAGGAUAAUUGAAUGCCGAUAUACAGGUUGUUUUUCAAAACUCGACCCUUGUUGGUGGAGUUGUGAUCGGUACAUCUGCCGAUAUGAUGAUCAACAUAUGGGGAGCCAUGAUAAUUGGUGGUUUAGCUGGAGCAGGAUCUAUAUUCAUAAAUCGUUUUUCAACCGUAAGUGACGAUUUAGAUAUCAUGGCAUUAAAUUUCGUUCGUUUAAUUAAGUUUCUAAUCGCGUGUUCUUACUUUAAGACGAAAGCUGUUCACCGUAUAAUUGGAAUACGCAACGCAUGGUAUAGAUAAUUUUGAAACAUCUAAUUGUCAGAUUCACCAAACGCUGCUGUGCUAACAAAAAAUUUUUAAAUAUGGUUCCGGAUGUCAAGGGGAGUAAUCUCUUUGCACGGAAUCCCAGGUAUUGUAGCUGGUUUUGUGGGCGCAAUUGUAUCGGCCGCUGCGACUAAGGAAGAUUAUGGUUUCAGGUUCUAGAUCUAGAUAACAAAUAAUUUUGCUGGGUGUUGAUUUGAAGAAGAAAUUUUCUUGGGUCACGACAGCCUUUACCGACAGUUUUCAGCACGAUCUCCACUCAAUAGUUCCAGCGAGUUAUCAAAAAUUCAGUACUACGAUUUAAAAAUUGACCCUGGUCGAGAAAGAACAGCUUUACAACAAGCAGGAUUUCAGAUUGUUACACUUAUCGUGACCCUAGUUAUCGCAAUUAUAGGAGGCCUUGUAACAGGGACGAUUCUUUCGUUGUCUUUCUUCCGUCAACCGUAUGAAGAAAAUGACUCGCAACCUGAUCAGCUAACGCUUGUUGUUGACCAGUUAUUGCUCUCUGAAAGACGUUUAAACGUUAUUAAUGCAACCAACUAAACUAGUGCAAUCGUUAUUUUGACCGAGAAUUUGUCGUCCACUUGUUAACUGGUAAAGCCGUUUGAGCUGGUAAAACACUAAAAUUGAUAAAGCAAAUGCUGACGUUUGGUUUUAUUACUUUUCAAAGCGAAACUUUGCGUUUCUUUUUCUCUCCUAAGUUUCAGACAAGGAAUACAAAGUGUAAUAUGUAAAAAUAACAAAUAUUAAUUUAAAAAUUCAUUAUAAUAGAGAAACUGAGAAAGUAACUGACGCGUACCCCCCACCUACCCCUGGUUUGUGAACGCACUCCGGAGGAAUCCGCCAUGUUUCCACCUUGUUCGUGUUUCUCUUGAGUGAUUCGCAUAGGGGGGAUUCCUUAUGAAAACGACCAAAACCUGUGGCGACCAUCUCACGGAUUUGAUCGCCACUAAC